rnacentral:rRNA from 1 species
GACGAACGCUGGCGGCGUGCUUAACACAUGCAAGUCGAACGGAAAGGCCCUGCGUUUGUGGGGUGCUCGAGUGGCGAACGGGUGAGUAACACGUGAGUAACCUGCCCUUGACUUUGGGAUAACUUCAGGAAACUGGGGCUAAUACCGGAUAGGAGCUCCUGCUGCAUGGUGGGGGUUGGAAAGUUUCGGCGGUUGGGGAUGGACUCGCGGCUUAUCAGCUUGUUGGUGGGGUAGUGGCGUACCAAGGCUUUGACGGGUAGCCGGCCUGAGAGGGUGACCGGCCACAUUGGGACUGCGAUACGGCCCAGACUCCUACGGGAGGCAGCAGUGGGGAAUAUUGCACAAUGGGCGGAAGCCUGAUGCAGCAACGCCGCGUGCGGGAUGACGGCCUUCGGGUUGUAAACCGCUUUCGCCUGUGACGAAGCGUGCGUGACGGUAAUGGGUAAAGAAGCCCCGGCUAACUACGUG